rnacentral:rRNA from 1 species
GACGAACGCUGGCGGCGUGCCUAAUACAUGCAAGUUGAGCGCUGAAGGUUGGUACUUGUACCAACUGGAUGAGCAGCGCACGGGUGAGUAACGCGUGGGGAAUCUGCCUUUGAGCGGGGGACAACAUUUGGAAACGAAUGCUAAUACCGCAUAAAAACUUUAAACACAAGUUUUAAGUUUGAAAGAUGCAAUUGCAUCACUCAAAGAUGAUCCCGCGUUGUAUUAGCUAGUUGGUGAGGUAAAGGCUCACCAAGGCGAUGAUACAUAGCCGACCUGAGAGGGUGAUCGGCCACAUUGGGACUGAGACACGGCCCAAACUCCUACGGGAGGCAGCAGCAGGGAAUCUUCGGCAAUGGACGAAAGUCUGACCGAGCAACGCCGCGUGAGUGAAGAAGGUUUUCGGAUCGUAAAACUCUGUUGGUAGAGAAGAACGUUGGUGAGAGUGGAAAGCUCAUCAAGUGACGGUAACUACCCAGAAAGGGACGGCUAACUACGUG